UAGUUAGCAUAAGGUACGUAGACUGCUAUCCAAGAUAUGCUAUACUCUUGUGCCCGAAUCUUUGACUAUAAUCCCACGAUCUCUCGUGCAACUAUGCAGGUCAUUAACUUAAGACCAAAAAUUGCUAGACAGAUGCGUCUGUGAGUAAACAGGCUAGUUAAAUAUUGAGUCUUGCAUGCAUUGAGAACGUUAUACCACUGGGUUAUGGGCCUAGACAUAGAAAUCUGUGCAUCUGAUUAAGUGAAAAUUAUAAGCAACUAAAUAGACAAAGCUUAGCUAGUACUUCCUCAUAGAGUAACAUGUUAAUUAGCAUAGGCUGUGCUUAUGUGGGUAGCUAAGGAAACACACAAUUAUUAAAGCUUUGCUAAGUUUUAUGCGAUGAGGCUUAGGCCUGACGUGACGUUGGCACAACUAACACUAGUUUUGGUAGAGAGUAUAGUAACAAGCUCCCUAGCACUGCAUCAUACUUCUUAUUCUAAAUUAUAACUUUAAACAUUAAACAUUCCGCAGCUGUGUGGGUGAUGUGUCCAGCGGUGGCAUCGACCUGGGUUGAGGGGGGCUGUUAAGUAGAGUUAGUCCUCGUGAGAAGUGGGCUACAGGCCCCUAGUAUAUGUCGAGUCAGCCAUUGCCCUGGUUCGGAGGUG